rnacentral:rRNA from 1 species
AAACCAACAGGGAUUGCCUCAGUAACGGCGAGUGAAGCGGCAUCAGCUCAAAUUUGAAAUCUGGCCGCAAGGUCCGAGUUGUAAUUUGUAGAGAAUGCUUCGGGCGAGGUCCGGUCUAAGUCCUUGGAACAGGACGUCAUAGAGGGUGAGAAUCCCGUCUGCGACCGGUCGCCUCCGCCCAUGUGAAGCUUCUUCGACGAGUCGAGUUGUUUGGGAAUGCAGCUCCAAAUGGGUGGUAUAUUUCAUCUAAAGCUAAAUACUGGCCAGAGACCGAUAGCGCACAAGUAGAGUGAUCGAAAGAUGAAAAGCACUUUGGAAAGAGAGUUAAACAGUACGUGAAAUUGUUGAAAGGGAAGCGCUUGCAACCAGACUUGCGCGCGGCCGAUCAUCCGACGUUCUCGUCGGUGCACUCGGCCGCGCUCAGGCCAGCAUCGGUUCCGGCGGCUGGAGAAAGGCCCGGGGAAUGUAGCUCCUCUCGGGGAGCAUUAUAGCCCUGGGUGCAAUGCAGCCCGCUGGGACCGAGGACCGCGCUUCGGCUAGGAUGCUGGCGUAAUGGUUGUAAGCGAC